AUGUCUCUGUUAAAUCUUUUGAAUAUAGACUCAGCCUCUGAGAUGAAGCACCCUGGCAAGAUGUUGGCCAUAAGAGAAGAAAAACUAAUAAAGAAAGAGAUGAGGGCUGACUUACUAAAAAGGAGGAGACUUCUGGGAGGAGUCCCGAGAGACAAGGGUGGAAAUACAGUUUUCUCUGGAGUAUGGCCAGAGAUUUUAUUUUGAAUAUCAUACUGUGCAAACUGUGACUUACAUGUGACAAGCGAAUAGUCAAGACCUAACUUAUAUUAAUGAUUUACUGCUGUCUCAUAAAGUAAAAAAAAAAAUAAAUAAAUAAAAAAAAAAUAAAAAAAAUUGUGUAUAUCUCAAAACAUGUUUAAGUCUUGCAAACAUGUGCAGCAUCCUCCCCAUCCUUGCUUUGUAUUGCUCCUUAUAACAUGUUCCAUACUCCAUCCAGUUUGUCAUUAAAUCAAGAAAAAUGCUCAUUCAGUGUACUGCAUUUAAACCAUCACCAAAGCAGACUUCUGUAAAACAGUCAACUUCUUACCGGAGGCUUGCUAACUGCUAGUUGGCUUUGGAUACUUCUUGAUUUUAUCCAGCCAUCUCAUGUUAUUUCAGAAGCUUAUCAACAGGAACUAGUUUUCACCCAGCUCUCAACUCGUAUGCAUUUCUGAACAGACUUACAUGUUAAAUUUAAAUGUUUCUAAUCUGAUAAUCUCUUCAUCAAACCUUAAUUUGCAAAACCUAGACACAAUAUGUCUGUCUCUGUGAGUUAAUCUUCUGUAUCUCCCUGUUAUCAUCUGUAUUUUCAGUGUAUGUUUUUGCUCUCUAAGGUACAG
rnacentral:lncRNA from 1 species